AAACGGUAGCUAAUACCCGAUGGUCUCGAUAAUUCGGUUUGUCGAGUACAGGCUCCGGCGCUUUGAGAGGGACCUGCGGNCCAUCAGCUAGUUGGUAGGGUAACGGCCUACCAAGGCGAAGACGGGUAGGGGGCGUGAGAGCGUGACCCCCCACACUGGCACUGGGACACGGGCCAGACUCCGAGGGGAGGCAGCAGUGAGGAAUAUUGCGCAAUGAGCGAAAGCUAGACGCAGCAACGCCGCGUGGGUGAUGAAGGCCUUCGGGUCGUAGAACCCGUUUUCUGGGGGAAGAGUAAGGACGGUACCCCGAGGAAUAAGCCUCGGCAUAACUAUGUGCCAGCAGCCGAGGUAAUACAUAGGAGGCAAGCGUUAUCCGGAUUAACUGCGCGUAAAGAGCGUUGAGCGCGCCUUCGUAAGUUGGACGUGAAGCUCCCCGGCUAACUGGGAGAGGCCGUUUCAUACUCGCGGGGCUUGAGAUCAUCAGACGGGGCUGGAAUUUCCGCUGUAGUGGUGAAAUGCCGUAGAUAUCGGAAGGAACACCAGUGGCGAAGGCGGCCCCCUGGGCUGCUCCUGACGCUGAAGGCGAAAGCUAGGGUAGCGAACGGGAUUAGAAACCCCGGUAGUCCUAGCCGUAAACGAUGGAUACUAGGUGUAGGAGGUUAAAACUCCUUCUGUGCCGGAGCUAACGCGUUAAGUAUCCCGCCUGGGGAGUACGGUCGCAAGGCUAAAACUCAAAGGAAUUGACGGGGGCCCGCACAAGCAGCGGAGCGUGUGGUUUAAUUCGAUGCAACGCGAAGAACCUUACCAGGGCUUGACAUGUAGGUAGUAGUGAAGCGAAAGCGGAACGAUCCUUCGGGAAGCCUACACAGGUGCUGCAUGGCUGUCGUCAGCUCGUGCCGUGAGGUGUUAGGUUAAGUCCUGUAACGAGCGCAACCCCUGCCGUUAGUUACAAGUGUCUAACGGGACUGCCCGGCAAAACUCGCGAGGAAGGUGGGGAUGACGUCAAGUCAGCAUGGCCUUUAUGUCCUGGGCUACACACACGCUACAAUGGCCGGUACAAUGGGUUGCCAAGCCGCGAGGCGGAGCCAAUCCUCUAAAGCCGGUCUCAGUUCGAAUUGUAGGCUGCAACCCGCCUGCAUGAAGUUGGAGUUGCUAGUAACCGCAG
rnacentral:rRNA from 1 species